rnacentral:rRNA from 1 species
CAGUAGGGAAUCUUGCGCAAUGGGCGAAAGCCUGACGCAGCCAUGCCGCGUGAAUGAUGAAGGUCUUAGGAUUGUAAAAUUCUUUCACCGGGGAAGAUAAUGACGGUACCCGGAGAAGAAGCCCCGGCUAACUUCGUGCCAGCAGCCGCGGUAAUACGAAGGGGGCUAGCGUUGCUCGGAAUUACUGGGCGUAAAGGGCGCGUAGGCGGAUAUUUAAGUUGGGGGUGAAAUCCCGGGGCUCAACCUCGGAAUUGCCUUCAAAACUGGAUAUCUUGAGUUCGGGAGAGGUGAGUGGAACUCCGAGUGUAGAGGUGAAAUUCGUAGAUAUUCGGAAGAACACCAGUGGCGAAGGCGACUCACUGGCCCGAUACUGACGCUGAGGCGCGAAAGCGUGGGGAGCAAACAGGAUUAGA